rnacentral:rRNA from 1 species
UACGGGGGGAGCAAGCGUUGUUCGGAUUUACUGGGCGUAAAGGGCGCGUAGGCGGCGUGGUAAGUCACUUGUGAAAUCUCCGAGCUUAACUCGGAAAGGUCAACUGAUACUGUGCGACUAGAGUGCGGAAGGGGCAACUGGAAUUCUUGGUGUAGCGGUGAAAUGCGUAGAUAUCAAGAGGAACACCUGCGGCGAAGGCGGGUUGCUGGCCGACAUUGACGCUGAGGCGCGAAAGCCAGGGAGCAAACGGG